AUACGGAGGAUGCAAGCGUUAUCCGGAUUUAUUGGGUUUAAAGGGUGCGUAGGCGGGACUGUAAGUCAGGGGUGAAAUACUGCAGCUUAACUGUAGCAUUGCCUUUGAAACUGCCGUUCUUGAGUACAGUUGAGGUAAGCGGAAUGUGGUGUGUAGCGGUGAAAUGCAUAGAUAUACCACAGAACGCCGAUUGCGAAGGCAGCUUACUAAGCUGUUACUGACGCUGAGGCACGAAAGCGUGGGGAUCAAACAGGAUUAGAUACCCUGGUAGUCCACGCUGUAAACGAUGAUUACUGGUUGUUAGCGAUAUAUAGCUAGUGACUGAGCGAAAGCAUUAAGUAAUCCACCUGGGGAGUACGUCGGCAACGAUGAAACUCAAAUGAAUUGACGGGG
rnacentral:rRNA from 1 species